rnacentral:rRNA from 1 species
AGAGGGUGCAAGCGUUGUUCGGAAUUAUUGGGCGUAAAGCGCGUGUAGGCGGCUUUGCAAGUCGGGUGUGAAAGCCCUCAGCUCAACUGAGGAAGUGCGCCCGAAACUGCAGAGCUUGAGUACCGGAGAGGAUGGCGGAAUUCCCCAAGUAGAGGUGAAAUUCGUAGAUAUGGGGAGGAACACCGGUGGCGAAGGCGGCCAUCUGGACGGAUACUGACGCUGAGACGCGAAAGCGUGGGGAGCAAACAGGAUUAGAUACCCUGGUAGUCCACGCCGUAAACGAUGAGAACUAGGUGUCGUGGGUGUUGACCCCCGCGGUGCCGUAGCCAACGCAUUAAGUUCUCCGCCUGGGAAGUACGGCCGCAAGGCUAAA